GAGGGUAUAGCUCAGCGGAGAGCACAUGCUUAGCACGCAUAAGGUCCUGGGUUCAAUCCCCUGUACCUCCA
rnacentral:tRNA from 1 species